rnacentral:rRNA from 1 species
CGGAACGUGUCCUGUUGUGGGGGAGUAACUGAUCGAAAGAUCAGCUAAUACCGCAUGAGACCUGAGGGUGAAAGCGGGGGAGUCGCAAGACCUCGCGCGACAGGAGCGGCCGAUGUCUGAUUAGCUAGUUGGUGAGAUAAAAGCUUACCAAGGCGACGAUCAGUAGCUGGUCUGAGAGGAUGAUCAGCCACAUUGGGACUGAGACACGGCCCAGACUCCUACGGGAGGCAGCAUG